rnacentral:tRNA from 1 species
CGGUGUGUAGCUCAGUCUGUUAGAGCGCUCUAUGCCUUUUCUCUUACAAAGGGGCUAGGUUUCUAUAGAGAGGUCGGGAGUUUAAAUCUCCUCACGCCGACCA